rnacentral:rRNA from 1 species
GUUUACGGCCACGCCGGCCUGAGUACGCCUGAUCUCGUCCGAUCUCGGAAGCUAAGCAGGGUCGGGCCUGGUUAGUACUUGAAUGGGAGACCGCCUGGGAAUACCAGGUGCUGUAAGCU